UACGUAGGGGGCAAGCGUUGUCCGGAAUCAUUGGGCGUAAAGCGCACGUAGGCGGCCCGGUAAGUCCGUUGUGAAAGUCAGAGGCUCAACCUCUGGAGGCCAAUGGAUACUGCCGGGCUAGAGUCCGGAAGAGGCGAGUGGAAUUCCUGGUGUAGCGGUGGAAUGCGCAGAUAUCAGGAGGAACACCAAUGGCGAAGGCAGCUCGCUGGGACGGUACUGACGCUGAGACGCGAAAGCGUGGGGAGCGAACAGG
rnacentral:rRNA from 1 species